rnacentral:rRNA from 1 species
CAGCCGCCGCGGUAAUACGAAGGGUGCAAGCGUUACUCGGAAUUACUGGGCGUAAAGCGUGCGUAGGUGGUGGUUUAAGUCCGUUGUGAAAGCCCUGGGCUCAACCUGGGAAUUGCAGUGGAUACUGGAUCACUAGAGUGUGGUAGAGGAUAGUGGAAUUUCCGGUGUAGCAGUGAAAUGCGUAGAGAUCGGAAGGAACAUCUGUGGCGAAGGCGACUAUCUGGGCCAACACUGACACUGAGGCACGAAAGCGUGGGGAGCAAACAGGAUUAGAUACCCCGGUAGUCCCUGUCUCUUAUAA